CUUGGGAUAGCUCUGCCGGUAGAGCAUGAGGCUCUUAACCUCAGGGUCGUGAGUUGGAGCCCCCUGCAUUGAAGG